CGCGGUGCGAGUGUUGCAUAUUCCCAUUCCCUGCAAGUGCAGUAAAAGACAGAAAUAACCAAUCGACGUCUAUGAUUAAGUAUGUUAUCAAAAAUUCUCAUGUGAGUGCAGCAAGUUACAUGGCUGCAAAUGCCAUUGAUCGGCAUAAUAAGCCCUUUCAAGAGGUCGAGUUUUUGAGGGAAGCCUGGUAAGCAUACGCGUCCUCACUUUUUGAAGAUUUUGAUGAUAAAGGUAUUUUCUUCCACUUUUGGAGAUAAAUUUGGCUGCAUGUCUUUUCUACAAUCAUCAUUUUCUACGAUUUAAAGGGAAUCUCAAAAUUAGUUUUUAAAAGAAAUCAUAAUGAUGAAAAGUGUUCAAAAACGCAAGCAUUCUCCAGUCGUUUCGGAUGAGAAUUCAGCAUCUUCAGUGCUAACAGAAACAGAUCCAGAAAAGCAAAAGCUUGACUCAUUGAAAAAAGUCAAAGAGGGCGAAGUAUCUACCAUUGUUCAGGAUGCCAACGCUAGUAGUGAUAAUCCCAGCAGAGAUAAUUCAACAAAUUACCUAUGUUGCAUUUGCAUAGAAUCAGUUCCCCGAAAGAAAAUGAAGUGCCUCUCGUGCUCACAUGCGUUCCAUAAAAUAUGUAUUAACAAGUGGUUGAAGAAGAGAAGAAGAUGUCCUUUAUGUCGUGAGAAGAUCAUGUAUCACAGUAACAAGAAGUAACAUUUCUGUGAUACUCUCUUGUUAAUGUGAGAGAUGGUACCAUUUAUAAGGCAAGAAUUGUA